rnacentral:pre_miRNA from 1 species
AGUGGAAUUGCUGGGUCACAUGAUAACUAUUUAGCCUUUUGAGGAACUGCCAAACUGUUUUCUAAAACAAGUGCACCAUUUUACAUUCCCAUCAGCGAU